rnacentral:rRNA from 1 species
UACGUAGGGUGCAAGCGUUGUCCGGAAUUUAUUGGGCGUAAAGAGCUCGUAGGCGGUCUGUCACGUUGGCUGUGAAACCCGAGGCUCAACCUCGGGCCUGCAGUCGAUACGGGCAAACUAGAGUACUGCAGGGGAGACUGGAAUUCCUGGUGUAGCGGUGAAAUGCGCAGAUAUCAGGAGGAACACCGGUGGCGAAGGCGGGUCUCUGGGCAGUAACUGACGCUGGAGGAGCGAAAGCGUGGGGAGCGAACAGG